rnacentral:rRNA from 1 species
GACGAACGCUGGCGGCGUGCUUAACACAUGCAAGUCGAACGGAAAGGCCCUGCUUUUGUGGGGUGCUCGAGUGGCGAACGGGUGAGUAACACGUGAGUAACCUGCCCUUGACUUUGGGAUAACUUCAGGAAACUGGGGCUAAUACCGGAUAGGAGCUCCUGCUGCAUGGUGGGGGUUGGAAAGUUUCGGCGGUUGGGGAUGGACUCGCGGCUUAUCCGCUUGUUGGUGGGGUGGUGGCUUACCAAGGCUUUGACGGGUAGCCGGCCUGGGAGGGUGACCGGCCACAUUGGGACUGGGAUACGGCCCAGACUCCUACGGGGGGCAGCAGUGGGGAAUAUUGACAAUGGGCGGAAGCCUGAUGCAGCAACGCCGCGUGCGGGAUGACGGCCUUCGGGUUGUAAACCGCUUUCGCCUGUGACGAAGCGUGAGUGACGGUAAUGGGUAAAGAAGCACCGGCUAACUACGUG